GUAAGGACUGAAGCUAGGUAUUCCUAGAACAUCACAUGAGCACCCGAGUAACUUCUUACUCAAGAAGGCCCUGUGUCUCUGAAGGUGGCAUGUACGAGCGGGCAGAGAACACCAGGGAGCUUGCUGGAAAUGCGGAAUCUCAAGACUCACUUUAGGAAAGAUCCCCAGUCUGCUCAAUUUUGAAAACGUCUCCUUACAAGUACUGACCAAGAACAGUUGGUUCAAGGCCAUGAUGGAACUCAAAGGCAAAAGGAAAAGGAGAUGGCUAAAUGCAGGUAAAGGAAGCAGAGAGCGGACAGGCCAUUGCAGCUUUAUUUAGUGAAAAGUAGUGAAGGAUGUUGGGUGGCAAUCAUUUAUAGAAUCUGUGUUUGGUUAUUCAUCUUGAUAAACACACCUCAAGGACCAGCAUCAAGUUCAGUGACAGCCUGCUCAAUGAGAAGAUAAUAUAAUUUAGGAAAAGUCUAACUUUUUGCAAAACUGUAAAAUUAAUAAGGACAAAAGAGUGAAUUUUGUCGGUUUUUUGCAAUACCAAAAUAAGAAAGUCAAAGCUUGAAAAAUAGGUCUUUCCCAAAUGGGUUUAAAAGGGGGCACGCUCUCCCUCUUUUCUGGGCAUGUGAAUUAGAUUAGAAUAUUAUCGCUAAAGGUAUCUGGCUGGCAUUCCU
rnacentral:lncRNA from 1 species